rnacentral:rRNA from 1 species
UACAGAGGGUGCGAGCGUUAAUCGGAAUUACUGGGCGUAAAGCGCACGUAGGCGGCUUGGUAUGUCGGGUGUGAAAUCCCCGGGCUCAACCUGGGAACUGCAUCCGAAACUGCCUUGCUAGAGUAUGGGAGAGGGAAGUGGAAUUUCCGGUGUAGCGGUGAAAUGCGUAGAUAUCGGGAGGAACACCAGUGGCGAAGGCGGUUGCCUGGAGCUUUGCUGACGCUGAUGCGCGAAAGCGUGGGGAGCGAUCCGG